rnacentral:rRNA from 1 species
UAGGGAAUCUUCCGCAAUGGACGCAAGUCUGACGGAGCAACGCCGCGUGAGUGAAGAAGGAUUUCGGUUCGUAAAACUCUGUCGUUAGAGAAGAACAGCGCAUAGAGUAACUGUUAUGCGUGUGACGGUAUCUAACCAGAAAGCCACGGCUAACUACGUGCCAGCAGCCGCGGUAAUACGUAGGUGGCAAGCGUUGUCCGGAUUUAUUGGGCGUAAAGCGAGCGCAGGCGGUCAAUUAAGUCUGAUGUGAAAGCCCCCGGCUCAACCGGGGAGGGUCAUUGGAAACUGGUUGACUUGAGUGCAGAAGAGGAGAGUGGAAUUCCAUGUGUAGCGGUGAAAUGCGUAGAUAUAUGGAGGAACACCAGUGGCGAAGGCGACUCUCUGGUCUGUAACUGACGCUGAGGCUCGAAAGCGUGGGUAGCAAACAGG